CGUGAAGGCGGCCAACUAAGUCGGAUGUGAAAUCCCCAGGCUCAACCUGGGAACUGCAUCCGAUACUGGAUGGCUUGAAUUCGGGAGAGGGAUGCAGAAUUCCAGGUGUAGCGGUGAAAUGCGUAGAUAUCUGGAGGAAUACCGGUGGCGAAGGCGGCAUCCUGGACCGACAUUGACGCUGUAGCGCGAAAGGCUAGGGGAGCAAACG
rnacentral:rRNA from 1 species